rnacentral:lncRNA from 1 species
AAAGAAUGAAUAUAAUUAUCUACCACUCUCAUAAUCAUGCAAUGUGUUGUUUUGGUUUGCUUGUUUCUUUUAUUCUAAAUUCUACUCUAAGAUUUACACUUUAUUUGCAUGUUUUGUAUAUAUAUAUAUAUAUAUAUAUAUGACAUCAAGUUAUUAAUUGAUGAUUUAUGGUUAUGCUGUCAGUGAAUUUUUUAAUUUUCUUAAUUUUUAAUUUUGUAAAGAGGUAAAUAAUGUUUUGACAAAUUAUUCUAGAAUUUCAUGUCCAAAUUCAAGUUUACUGAUUAGGUUAGUUUGGAUUACUCACAACUAAUGACUUCAAAAAUCACCCUGAUAGUGUAAACAUCCAUACUAAUUCAUCAUGAGGUUUAUAAGACUGCACACCCUGAUAUGUACCCUUAAGACACUACAACUUCAAAAUGUCUGAUAAUGAGGUAUGAAAUUAUUGUAAAUUAAAAUAUUAAGCAUUUAACACUCUAUAAAAGACAACACAAAAAAAUAAAAAUUAUUAAUGAAACUAAGUUACAUUUCUUCAUUUCAAUUCAAGCUUUCAAACUUACACUAUGGUGCUUUGAAAUAUCUGUUUGAUUCAGCAUUCACAAAUAUCCAAAGUUUAGCAAAGUGCAGAAGAUUUAAAUAUCUGCACAAGCACAGAUGUAAACUCUUCAAAUACACAUUACCAUACAAUUUCAAAUUAUAUAUACAUUUAUUUAUUUAUAUG